rnacentral:tRNA from 1 species
GCACUAAUAGCUCAAAAUUAGAGCACCGAUCUUGUAAGUCGGAUGUUGAAGGUUAAAAUCCUUCUUAUUGCU